AAAAAAAAAAAAAAAAAGAAGUCAGCAGCCUCUUGCAUAUACAAGGCUGAAAUGAAAUUUUAUUAUCUCUGUUUCCUGAAGGAGCAAAAUUCAUGAGUAAG